GGUCUUAUGGUGAAUUUACCAGACACGCUAUCACAAUGAAAUUUCAAUUCAUAGUAAAAUAGACUA
rnacentral:tRNA from 1 species